ACGUCAGCAGGCGGCGGCAGAACCCUCGCGUUUGAACCACAGCCGUGUAGCUGUGCGGUCUGUCGGCUUAUUGAGCUCGUGUUUGGGUGUGUGGUAGCGUCAGCUGAGCCUCCACGGUCGGAGACGCUCUUGGGGAACAAACAGCCGGCGGACACUCGGAGGUCUCAGUUUCUUCGGAGUUUUUUCUUUAUUUUUGUCGUUAAGGCUAACCUCGUUAGCUUAUGCCUGCGUCGUUACCAUGGUGACGCUCCGAGGCAGAGGGGACGCGGACCGGAGAAACGGGCCGAGCACGAGCACCGGGAACCCGGCACGAUCUGUGAUAAAGACCCGGAGGAGGAAGAAGGCUCCCCGGACUCAAGAGUCCGGACGGUCCGAUGUAUUUAAAUCUGAGGAUGAAGAGCAGAACCUCACUGAUUCUGAAACACCCGAGGACGAAGAUGAGAAAGCAGCGGGAACCGUCAUCAGGAAAUCUCAGCGGCUCCAGAAGCGUUCAGGUGGCCGGCUGAGGAGAAGCACGAGGCUGACCAAAGUGACGAGCAGGUACGAGGCCUCCAACAUGUUCGACGGCAUCAGCACCAACGCCGCCAGGUCGGUCUUGAACAGGAUGGACAGCAUGAAGAAGAAGAGGCGGCUCAGUAACAACACGGAAGGAAAGAUCUAUUCUAAAGCCCAGAGGAGUAAAACACCGGUCCCACUACGAGGAGAGCUCAGCGACAGCGAGGACAGCCGAGGGGCGGGCUUUGACGAGGACAGCAGGCAGGCCCUAACAGCAGAUGAAGACAGCAACUGCAGCAUCAGCCACAAUGUUGAUGCCAAACUGAGCCGAGCCUCGUCGCUGUACCAAGGCCCGACCAGCGACUUCCUGAGAGGAACCUUCCGGAUCAGCGCCUCAGGAGCAAACACGACCCACAGAGCAGCCUUCAGACCCACUAAGAGCGCCUGGUCCAAACAGUCUGAUGAAGACUCUGAUGAUGAAGAGGAGGAGGAGGCCCCUGACAGCUGUCUCCCACUCAGCCUGCGUACUGGCAACCUUUUGCGAACCCGCAACGACAAGAUGGCUGCAGGAGCGGGCCUGGCGGACAUCGAUCCCAUGGCCAUCGACCAAUCUGUGGGUUUUGACAGUAUUGGGGGUCUGUCAGGUCACAUCUCAGCUCUGAAGGAGAUGGUCGUCUUCCCCCUUCUCUACCCCGAGGUCUUUGACAACUUCAAGAUUCAGCCUCCCAGAGGGUGUCUGUUUUACGGCCCUCCCGGGACGGGGAAGACGCUGGUUGCACGGGCGCUGGCCAACGAGUGUAGCCAUGGCAACAGGAAGGUGUCCUUCUUCAUGAGGAAGGGAGCCGACGUCCUCAGCAAGUGGGUGGGCGAGUCAGAGCGGCAGCUGCGGCUGCUGUUUGAGCAGGCGUAUCAGAUGCGUCCGUCCAUCAUCUUCUUCGAUGAGAUCGACGGUCUGGCUCCGGUCCGAUCCAGCAGGCAGGACCAGAUCCACAGCUCCAUCGUGUCGACGCUCCUCGCUCUGAUGGACGGGCUCGACAGUCGAGGGGAGGUCGUCGUGAUCGGAGCCACAAACCGGCUCGACUCCAUCGACCCCGCGCUGCGGCGUCCCGGACGCUUCGACCGCGAAUUCCUGUUCGGCCUUCCCGACAGAGAGGCCCGUAAAGACAUUCUGAAGAUCCACACUCGGCAGUGGAAACCUCCUCCAUCUGAAGACUUUCUCGAUGAACUGUCAGAAAAAUGUGUCGGUUACUGUGGCGCUGAUAUCAGGGCGGUGUGCACUGAGGCGGCAUUGUGCGCUCUGCGCCGACGCUACCCGCAGAUCUACGGCACGUCCCAGAAGCUCCUGCUGGACGUCUCCUCCAUCGCCGUCAGCAGCUGCGACUUUGCGGCAGCCAUGAAGAAGAUGUCGCCUGCCUCGCACCGCUCUGCCGCCUCCCCGGCCAAACCUCUGUCCCCUGUGGUCCACCCGCUUCUAGGCAGCGCCCUGCAAGAAAUCCUUGGUGCCCUGCAGAGGAUGUUUCCACAUGCUGAGGAGGGCAUGAAGAGGAAGAGGGAGCCAGACCUGACCUCGGGUAUUCUCGACGACACUCUGAUGUUUGAAGAAGACGAGGGCCCCAGCAUCUCCAAACCCUCCAAGAACAAAAACUUCCUGCACUUCUUCAGGAGUGCCGUCAAACAGCCGACGUCUCACCGCCCCAGGAUCAUGCUGGCAGGUCGUCCUGGCGCCGGUCAAACCUCCCACCUGGCUCCCGCCAUCCUGCACGCUUUGGAGCGUUUCACCGUCCACAGCCUGGACUCAGCGGUGCUGUUUGGCGUUAGCAGCACCUCGCCAGAGGAAGCCUGUGCACAGGUAUUCUGUGAGGCCAAGCGGACGUCUCCCAGCAUUCUCUACAUCCCGCACAUCCAGCAGUGGUGGGACACUGCAGGGCCGGCCCUGAGGGCAUCCUUCCUCAGCCUGCUGGGCAGUAUCCCGUCCUUCUCUCCCAUCCUCCUCCUCGCCACCUGCAGCGUGUCCUUUCAGCAGCUGGACCCAGAGAUUCAGAGCCUGUUCCGGGAGGACUACGGGGAGGUCUGCGUCCUCAGAGUUCCCACCCAGCAGGAGAGGACCAGCUUCUUCCAGGAUCUCAUUCUGAACCAGGCGGCUGAGGCCCCUCCCUCCAAGAGAAAAACAUUAUCUCAGGCAAUGGAGGUCCUCCCCCUGGCUCCACCGCCUCCUCCUCACAAAAUGUCGGAGCAAGAGCGCCUCCACCUAGAGGAGCAGGAGGAGGACGUGCUGCGAGAGCUCCGUCUCUUCCUGCGAAACAUCACCGAGCGCCUGUCUCUGGACCGCCGCUUCAAAGCCUUCACCAAACCGGUCGACAUCGAGGAGGUCCCCGACUAUCUGAUGGUGAUUAAGAAGCCCAUGGACCUCUCCACCCUGCUCACCAACAUCGACGAACACAAGUACAUCACCAUCGGCGAGUUCAUGGCGGACGCUGACCUCAUCUGGAAGAACGCUCUCGAGUACAACCCUGACAGUGACCCCAUGGACCGCAACAUCCGUCACCGAGCAUGCGCCCUGAAGGACACGGUCCGCGCCAUCAUCAGAGAUGAGCUGGACGAAGACUUCGAGAGAGUCUGUGAGGAGAUCAGAGAGUCGCGCAUCCACAGAGCUCUGAUCGAGGCCAACCCGCAGGAGGCCGAUGGCGUCUGCGGCUCGGCGUUCUCCAGAAACGCUCUCCAACCUCGUAAGAAGAAACGUUACAGGCGGCCCCGAAAGUCCAAGUGGAGCACCGGCGUCAUUAAGAAACCCAAGAAGAAGAAGGAGGAGCCACCAGUCCCAUCCUCCUCCUCUUCCUCCUUCACCUCCCUCUCCUCCAUGUCCAGUAAGUUCAGCUCUGAGUCGAGUGUGGAGGAGGUCAGAGCUGCUGGACGGCGAGCGGUGAACGGGUCUGCUGGUGCUGGCUCAUCCAGCCCAUCAGAGAGCAGUGACGGCGGCCUGAGCGGGUUCCAUCGCACCCCAAACCGCAUCACGAGAGCCCACAACGGAGUCCUUACGAACGGGUAUCACCGCUACGCCGAGCCAGUUCAUCCCCAGCUGGCUGAUGGCGUACCUGCAGGCGUGCGUCGAACCCGCACAUCAAAGACGCCCCCAGGCCCGGAGACCGUGCUGAACGGCCAGAACGCGGACAGCUUAGAGAAGAGCAAACAGUCUGAGUCGAGGCCCAACAAGGCGACUUUGGAGCAGGUGUUGAUCCGGGACAGGCCGGAGCAGCAGGAAGAAACUCCACCGCUGAUCAUCGAUCGCAGCAAACUGAAGGAGCUCCUGAGGAGAACCGUGGCCAAGACGGAGGGUGCCGAGGUGGAGCCACUGGAGAAGCUUUAUGCCCGGCUCGCUCAGUGCAUCUACCGACACAGAGACGACUGCAACAAGGCAGAGCUGCUGCAGGAAAUGAAGACAGAAAUCGAUCGAUUCUCCUGACCUCCAGCAGCUCGACUUCAAUAAACCUCAAAGUGCUCAAACAAAGUCAUUGUUCGUUCGUCGGCAUUCGUUCAGUUUCUCCUCUCAGAACGCUGACAGACGCUUCCGCUUUAUGGAGGUUUCUUCAAAAUAAAGGACCGUCAUCUAUGCUGCCCUGACAGGAACGUCACACAGCUUUAGGAACGACGGUGCCAAGAAAGAGUGAUCAGACAUCCAGACUCAAGGAUUCAGAAGCUUGAUGGUGACCUAAAGCAUCGGGCCGAUGUUUAACUCACUCAGAGAUGUUUCUUAAAAUGUUACAGGACAUGUAUGUGUAUAUAUUUCAUGGUGUUUGCUGUACAGUCAUUCCACUCUGAAAAACAACAGUUCAAAGUUCAAAGAAGUCAAUAAAUGACCCCGAGAUUAUUCUGCA